CGUAAUAUUAUAGAAACAAAACGGCAACUAAAAAAUACUGGACAUGUUUCGCAUCAUGACGGAUGUAAUAUUAUAUUGGUACUGUUGUGAGCGGGAAGUUUGGAAGGUGCUGGAUGUAUAAACUAGUCAUUUUGAACAGUUACUAAAAGCGGCGAUAGAUAAAUAGUUGCAAUCGAAAAACGAUUGGAGAUCGGUAAAAUUCGAGUAAUAAUAUU